ensembl:lncRNA
AGAGGGAGGCACUGUGGAACCAUCAAACAAAAGACCCCAGUGCUGAUAAGACAACAUGCUGUCCAUUACCACCAGGUAUGAGGACACAAGGUAGGUGGCAAACUCAUCUGAUCCAUCCUCAGUCGCCCCAAAUGAGAAUAAAUGUGUUACUUUCCUUCAAGUCCUGUCGUAUUAUUUUGUAUCUACAAAACUAUUAGAACAGAAAUAUUUAACUUAAAAAGAUAAAUCCAAAUAGAUGAAUGGAUCUUUUUUUUUUUUUUACCUUCAUGAAUGUCAUGAAUAUUUUCUGGAGAAUAGAAGUGGUACUUAUAUAAUGGUAGUGCCCAUUGCCUGAGAUCCCAUGAUUGUAAGGUGACUGAGAAAUAUUUUUAAUUACACGGUUGUUGAUGUGAUUCAGUCUUCAGCACUACGGUCACCCCGGUGUGUCGGCCACAACACCAAUUAAAGCCAAACUGUCUCAGAGUGUAGAAGAAGAAGCUUGAGGUUUGUUCUGAAACUUAUAAACACCUGUAUAAGAACAGAAUAGACUUGUCCUAUAAACUUUGGGGCCUUUCUACACUACUCUGCGAUGGCUCUUGAUAAAACUUAAAUAUGUGGGAUGAUCUUGGACAGUUUAAAGUGGGCCUCUGUUCCUGUAAAGUAGAUUGUGGUAAGGACCCGACACGCACACUGGAUUUCAUUCACUAUAGGUUAGUUUUAUUUUCGUUCUGAUGUUCCAGCAUCAGUCACACAGGAACAGCUGCUUCUUCCUCCCAGUCUCCGUCCCCGUCAUCACUAUUUAAAAAUAGAGAGAAGAAGAUGAUCACACCCGCCCUCUCAGCCACACCUCGGCACCGCCCUGAGAGCUCACUGUAACACCCCUCUGCUGCAGCAGGCCGGAGACCACACCCCGCCACAUAGAUCAUAUCACUACUGUGAGAUAAAAGUGAAAGAGCAGCUCACAGAUCAGUGGGAAGUCACAUCAGGAGAACAUUAAGUAUUUGUAGCGUGUGAUUCCCUUGUGUUUUCAGUCUGUGAAACAGCUGUUUGUCCCUUCACCAGGCAGCUCAAAGGCUGUUUUUAUUUCCACAGUGAUGGCAGCAGCAGCGUUCAGGAGCAGAGGACUGGCUGGUGUCAGAAACACCAACGUUUUAAUCCUCAUCUUUCUGCUGUCCCUGGUUUAUGUCACAAAUUCACUGAUGAAAGUAAGAACAAAGUCACUGCUGAAUUAACUGUUGUUGAAGGUACUUCUAUGAAACAUUUAUUUGCAAAUGUAAAACUACAGUUACUAUGUAACUCAUUAUAAGCAUAUCAGAGUUUAAAUGGACGCAUCCUGUUUUUGUAAAUUUAAAAAAAUUCUGACAAGUUUCUUAGAACAACUUAGGAAAUCAGAAAAAGCAAGAGCAGCCAGAAGGAAGGCGGGUCAGGCAGUCAAGGCGUUUUUUAAAUAAACAUUUCAAACUAUUUACAGAACAAUCAGCUGUUCUGCAUCAAAUCUGAUGCCACACAAAUUAUUUGUGCCACUCCAAAAAAUAAUUUCUGUCCACUAUGAGAUAAAGGAGAACAACAGCCUGAUACCUGCAGGCCUGACAGCAGGAGAUGUAUCACUGUUGUAACACCUGUAACAUUCAGCAGCUGCCUCAUUGUUCUGACACACCAACAAAACUAUUGACUACACUACACACUAACUACACACUAACUACACAAGAUUUGCGCUAAACGUCUCAAAUCUCUCACAUGUCAGAACACCGCCGUCACUCCUAAAACUUCCCCCCGUUUCUUAACAACUAGAUGCCACGUUGCCAUAUCAUUUUUUGAUUGGUCGACACGGUACUUUUUUCGACCAAUAGGAAAGGGUGGGGGUUUUUUGGUGUUGUGUUUGCUCACAGGCUUUCGAGCGUUUUCCUUGUAAAACGCCGUUUUUACCGUUUCUUCCCACAGUAAAUAUAAACAACGAUAGUAUUCAGGAAGAAAACCAAACAUUGCAGAUAUUUUUAUCAUAACUCUGGUUUUACGUGGCCCAUCAACACAAUUUAAAAACUGGUAUAAAGUCCACACUUUUCCCGUCAAUUGUUCCGUCUGUCCUGCUCACAUCUCCAAUGGUUGUACGCGUUGUCAUUAACGUGGCUUCACUGCACAUC